CUGCCCCCUACCGUGGAGUUCUUGGUGCCGUGAGUUGGAGUUCUUGGUGCCUGGGUGCGUCCCCAAGGCCACUGGUCUUCAGAUCUUUCUUACUUGAGAAGAACGCCUCCGCCUCCUGGCUCUCCCACCAGUGGUACUGCCACCACCACACACCAGCAUAAAGCACAGAUUGCUGCCCAGCUCCUUGGAGAGGGGCCAGUGCAUUUGUCAGGAAUUGAAAAGUUUUGGAGCCAGUUCGAGGACUUUCUGCUGCACAAAGUGUUGGCUGGAAGCAUGAAACAAUAACACGUGGUUUGCCAAAGAAUCUGCAUUGAAUAAUACUGGUGGUGACCACAAGAACAUGCCUCUCUGACUGCAAGGAACAAGAGUGACCCAGGGUUUCAGCUGCUGCCUUGGAAUUUCAUCACAGUGCGAGUCUAUGCUUCCCACGGGCUGCUCCCAGCCUGUGAAUAAGCCUGGCAUCUUUGUUGAGGCAGGCCUAUUUCUGGAGAUGCAGGAUCCUCCGAUGGGCGAAUUUGGCUCUAGGACUGCUUGAUGGCCUUGACAGACUUUCCUUAGAAAUGCAUGGCAAUUUAGGGUUCCUCCACCCUUCCCUCUUUCUCUCCUUCACCUAGGGUCGGACUUGCAUCAUGGCCUGAAAGCUCCACCAGCCUCUCCUGCCCUCCUCCUCAUUUUCUU
rnacentral:lncRNA from 1 species